rnacentral:rRNA from 1 species
UCGGGAAUUUUCGGCAAUGGGGGGAACCCUGACCGAGCAACGCCGCGUGAGGGAAGAAGGUCUUCGGAUCGUAAACCUUUGUCAUCAGGGACGAUCAUGACGGUACCUGAGGAGGAAGCCACGGCUAACUACGUG